rnacentral:rRNA from 1 species
UACGUAGGGGGCAAGCGUUGUCCGGAAUCAUUGGGCGUAAAGAGCGUGUAGGCGGCUCGAUAAGUCUGCUGUGAAAGUCCAGGGCUCAACCCUGGAAGGCCGGUGGAAACUGUCGGGCUAGAGUCCGGAAGAGGCGAGUGGAAUUCCCGGUGUAGCGGUGAAAUGCGCAGAUAUCAGGAAGAACACCCGUGGCGAAAGCGGCUCUCUGGAACGGUACUGACGCUGAGACGCGAAAGCGUGGGGAGCGAACAGG